GCCAUUAGUCCACUAACGUCUCUCACUACCGCCGAGGCAUACAAAAACGAGUCUAAAAAAGGUUGCUCACCCUGGAGAACACAAGUAAACAUCUAUCGGGAUGAACUCCCAGAGCUGGAAACGGAACUGCACCUGCUGUGUAGCCUUCCUUACUCCCGUUCGGGGCCUAACCACCUUUUUUCGGGCCUUUACUCUCUUGGGGCCUGUACCGGCUCUUUAUGAACAUUUUCCCGGGAUUUUUUUUUCCCCCCACUUCAAAUCUCAAAGGCUGUAUGUCAUUUCCCAAAAAAAGGGCCCGGAGUCUUCGACGACUUCUCCAAGCUCAGCCAGUGAGUGGCCGGGCUCCUACGGCGGAACCGGCCCCCUCCAAGCCCACGAACCGCACCCGCCCGAGCACCGCCCGGUUCCGCCCCCCAGCGCGAGCCUGGGCUUCCGGGCACUCGCGGCCGUCGUCGCCGUCGCGCGAGGUGAGCUGGCCCAGCCAGCGCGGCGAGGCCGGCGGGGGACCGCGGACGGACUGCCCCGCCGGGCGCAACGGCUGGGCGCCGGGCCCCGGUGUCCCGGCAACAGGAUUGGGAGUCCAUGCCACACUCACCUGCCUGCUCGACUGAGGAAUUACCAUGGUAAAGGGAAACGAGGAAAAGGCCAAGGCAAGUCUCGCGGGAAGAAACAGAAGAAACCGGAAGUGGACAUUCUCAGCCCUGCUGCCAUGCUGAACCUCUACUACAUUGCCCACAACGUGGCCGACUGCCUGCAGCUGCGGGGCUUCCGCUGGCCAGGUGCUCCCAAAGCAAAGAAAGGGAAAAACAAGACUUAAUAGCACUUCACAGAGAGCAGAACUUGGGGAAGAGGAAUCAGGAUAACACAACUACUGCAAGCAAAAUAGACUUCACUGAAGACAAUUUGAGAUGCAAGCUAAGUGUGCUUUUCUAUGGUAGUUAAGGAUAAAGAAAUGCAUUUUACUUGCCAGCUAAAUUCAGCUAUAGUUAGAAGAGGUCAAGGGGGGAAAAAGUCCGAGUAAUUCCUACCAAGCGUGGUGGAAUUGAUAGGACUUUAAAAAUUAUUAUAAUUCUGGGUCAGAAUAAACUUUGUUCUCAAAAGGCAGUUCUAGCCUGCAUGAAUGAUUUUCUUUUGCCUAAACGGGUUUGUUACAUAGAAAAGGCAUGCCUGGGGCACUCGAGUAGCUCCGCUGGUUAAGUGGCAGACUCUCCAUUUUGGCUCAGGUCUUGAUCCCAGGGUGGUGAGUUCAAGCCCCUGCAUUAGGCUCCACGCUGGGCAUGGAGCCUACUUAAAAAAAAAAAAAAAAAAAAAAAAAGACACGACAAAAAGCACAGGAUUUGCUUAUGAACAGCCUUCUCUUGGGCACUGUUUCCUUUUUUCAUCUUUUUCGGGAAAAAUAAUGAAUACUUUGUUUCUAUAAUUUUUUCUUCUCAGCAGUCUGACUCUUGGCUGAUUUUAAUUAGUCAGGGAUGCCGGUGGAGACUGGGAUCAUCACUCUGACCUUGCUAGGGCAUAUAAGCAAAUGACUCAAAGGAGCUGACAAGGGACCGUGUCCUGGUGCCGGGAAAGGGAGCAAAUCAGCACACAUCUCUCCCUUCUUUCCAUUUCACUGGACUCUUCCCCACGCUUUUCCUCCACACUUACAUCUUCCUUCCACCUUCUGCGGGCUUCCUUCUAAACGUGGCUGACCCUGAGUUAUGGAACAGGUGCUAGAAACUUGCCAUGGGCAUUCUGCUGCUAUUCCAUGAUCCACGUAAGAGAUAAAACUGCAGUUCUUCUCUUCAGUCCAAAAGGCCUAAAAGCCCCAAAUGUGAAACUUGGAAGGAAAGGCAUUUGAAGUAUAAACACCAUCUCUGAAUCACCUAGCAUCCCGUCCCUGCUCCUGCUCUGUCUUCCCGGCAUGUCGCACCACGUUCCCAGUGCUGACAACCUGCACUGGGCUCUCCAGUCACAGCUGUGGGCCCGAAGUUGACGCCUCUAAGGCAGCACCUGUCCGGGGAUGAUCUCGUUUGUCUGAAUUGCUUGUAACGAUGCCGCAGGUUGCCUGGUGAGGCUCUCAGAGAUUCACAAAGUCUGCUAAGAAAGGCUGCAACCUAGGACUCUGGAUUUCAUAAAUACCAGAGGAAAAAAGGCAAUCACACGAAUCCUUGUACUAGAGAAGUGGGGUGCUCGCGCCGCAUGUGAGCUUGCUGGCAGUGACAUUCCUCUAUGGCUGUCCCACCUGCGCAGAUGCCAUGUGAGACCCUGACUAGUGGCCAGAGGAGCCCUCGCUCGCUCGGGUGAAGGUUGGUGCUGCUCUUAAGCUAAAGGGGGGCCCUGUGGGUUCUCUGUGGAUGGGCUUUGGAAAGGGAGCACCUUCCCACUCUGCUAGACACUGCCGGGAUGGACCCAAGUGGUUUCUGUUUGUGGAGACGCUAACUCCAGUUCAGUCCUUCCCGAACCUGAGCAAGCAGCACCUGGAGGACGCGUCAAAGCGCACAAGGGUGGGAGUCGGGAAUUUGCUGGACCGCACCCGGGGAGGAGCUGGGCUCUAGUUAAUGCGGCCUAACCAGGGGCUGAGAUGCUUGUUGAGUCUUUCAACUUGUAGGGUGUCUCACGCCCUCCUCUGCCUCGCUCGGCUCGGAGCUUGUAUCUGAGCAGUAAUGCUUAUUGGAACGCUGGGGAGGUGGCAUUUGCAGAGGCUUUUUCUGAUCUUGUCCCCAGCACGGAUGACAUCAUCUAAGGAGCUACAGAGACAUGCCAGGCGGCAGACAUUUAAAGGCUAAGAAGAUCAUCUGGAAGUGGAAAUGCUUUCUUCUCUUGAGAUGGUUAAACGAUGAGCAGAAAGGCUAGCACAGCUGGUUGGACCAGCGGGAGGCUCCUGACCCCUGAAAACUCAUCCACUGGCUGCUCCGACGAGCCUGGUCUAUUGUAAGACCAGGUGGGUCCAUCAGAGUCUCCGUCUGUCCUGUAAAGACCCGGAGAACGAGGCACGUAGGAAGCUGACGCUUGGAGGAAGGAUAGAAAGAGACCACAGGCUACAGCUGGAGCCCCAGGGGUCCCCCACAAGUUGAAGUUGCGGAAAAGCGGAAACCUACAAUUUUAUUUAUCCACUUGACAGAGAGCACAAGCAGGGGCAGCGGCAGGCAGAGGGAGAGGGAGAAGCAGGUUCCUCGCCCAGCAGGGAGCCCGAUGCGGGGCUCCAUCCCAGGACCCCGGGAUCAUGACCUGAGCUGAAGGCCGACGCUUAACCCACUGAGCCACCCAGGUGUCCCAUGUCUCCAUACUUUCACAAUUAAAUGGCUGAUCGAUUAAUGGUUAUCUUCGCUGCUAGAAUGCAGUUCUCUGCUAGCAGGGCUGGUCGGCUUGUUGAUGGCUUCCUUGGGCCCUGUGACAUCAUAACCAGCACUCUGGCAUAUAAAUAUUUGUUGAAGGAUUUUUCUAACAAGCUAUUUAUGCUACAGUAACAACCCCCAAAUCUCAGUGGCUUAAAACAACAAAGGUUUAUUUCUUAUUAAAGCUUUAGUUCCUGGAGGGCUGACCCAAAGGUUUCUUUCUCCCUCGGGCUCCAUGUCCAUUGAGGGUGGGCCGGGGGCCUGCCUCCAGGGACCCGGGCUUACAGAGCAGCCAGCACUUGGGGUGUCAUAGGCUGCCAGGCCGAGAGAAAGAAGGAAAGAAAAUGUGAACUGCACACGGGUUCUUAAGGUUCCCACCCAGAAGUGACAGAUCGCUUCUCAUUUUAUUGGCCAAAACAAGCCACGUGGCCACAGCUCACUUCAAGAGAGGGGGGAAAUGCAAUGCCCCACAUGCCCCACAGGGGAACCACAACUAUUUGCGGGAUAGCGCUGGUAACUCUCUGAAGCACGCAUCGCUUCUGUAAUAAAAACGACUCCGAAACCAAAAACGGAAUGCAACAAAAGGGCUGAGAAACGGGUGGUCCAGAGAGGCAGCUUCAAGAAGAAACGCCUCCUCAGGACGCCGCAGCUGUGCCCUUGUGUUCUGUUUAUCGAGCCACCUGUAGAGGUGACCAAGGGGUUAGGAUACCUGAGCAAAGCAGGAGUUUUGUUUUGUGUUCACAUUUAUUUAUUUGAGCGAGAGAGAGCGCGCGAGCACAAGUCGGGGAGGGGCAGAGGGAGAGAGAGAAUCUCAGGCGGACUCCGCGAUGAGUGUGGAGUCCCAUGCGGGGCUCGAUCCCAGAAUCCUGAGACCGUGACCUGAGCUGAAACCAAGAGUCUGAUGCUCAACCAACCGAGCCGCCCAGGCGCCCCUAAAGCAGAGUUUUAAGUCUUAAAACUCUUCUUAGCUCUAUCACAUCUUCUUCUCCAACUUCUAGAGAAACCAUUCAAAUAAGAUGAUUGUUCUUAAAUAUUUUAUUUUUAUUAAUGUUUAAAUUUAUCACAAUGAAACUCAUAAUCCAGCAAUUACACUAUUUGUAUUGAGACUAUGCUUCCUGAUUUCCUGUGUAAAAAAGAAAGCCCAAGAUUUUGUCAGUUGCCAAAAAAAAAAAAAAAAAUCUGAGCCCAACCUUUCCAUUUGUUGAAGACAGAAGAGCACUGAAAGAGUCCCAUGAAGCAUGGAUUCCUGCUCUGUGCUGUCUUCUUGGUGACCCCCACCCCCCCCGCCCCGAGUCAUGGAGCCUUGGCUGUGACCCAUCACAGGAACCCCCUCUAUACCCUGCUCUCAGAGCAGCAUUUGGCCAGAGGUGGCCUCCUGGUGGGUUUCACCCGGCUCUCCCUCUGCCUCCAUGGCUACAAACGGGUUCACCCGCUCUGCCCCAUGGCAGCCUUACACACUCUGAGAGACUGUUCUUGGUGGAGAGGACACACGUUCUGCUCCAGGCCAAACACCCCAGUCCCUUCAACCGCUUUUUACUUAACAUGACUCCUCUUGGUCACCCUAUUCUGGAUCCUCCAGGGUGUCAUAUCUCCUGUGGCUAGUAGGAUGGGGCACCCAUGUUUCCCAUGCCAGUGAGGCCCUGGCCCCCUGAACUCUAGACUUUAGACCAUCUUUCCAGUCCAGGCUGACAUGAGGCUUUAGGAAUAGAUUCUUCAUUUAAAUAGCUUAAGGCUUGGUGUGGCCAUUGUAGAACAUAAUUCGGUGGUUCCUUAAAAAGUUAAACAUAGAGUUACCAUACGAUCCAGCAAUUCCACUAACAGGUAUGUACCCCAAAGAGUUAAAAGCAGGGAGCCAAACAGAUACUUAUACACCAACAUUCGUGGCAGCACUAUUCACAACAGCCAAAAGGUGGAAGCAGCCUAGGUGUCCAUCAACAAGUGAAUGGAUAAACGAAAUGUGGUCUCUGUAGACAACGGAAUAGUAUUCAGCCUGAAAAAAGAAGGAAAUUCUGGCUUAGGCUGCAACAUGGAUGAACCUUGAAAAUGUUAUGCUACAUGAACUAAGCCAGAUUCAAAAGGACAAAUAUGGUAUGACUCACUUGCAUGAGUUCUCUCGAAUAGGUACACUCAUAGGGAUGGAAUGUAGACUAGUGGUUGCCACGGGCUGAGGGGAGGGCAGAAAGGGAAGCUACUGUUUAAUGAGUUUCUCUCUUAGAUGAUGAAAAAAAUGUAAAUGGACAGUGAUGGGAGCGCCUGGGUGGAUCAGUCGGUUGGGCAUCUAACUCUAGAUUUUGGCUCAGGUCAUGAUCUCAGGGUUGUGAGAUUGAGGCCCCAGCAGGCUCUGCACUAGGCAUGGAGCCUGCCUGGGAUUCUCCCUCUCCCUCUACCCUUCCCUCCCCAAAAGAAAAUUUAAAAAAUGGGCAGUGAUGAUGGUUGUACAACGUUGUGAAUGUACCCAAUGCCACUAAACCAGUUACUUAGAAAUGGUUAAAGUGAUAGAUUUUUUGUUGUGUAUAUUUCACCACAAUGAGAAAACACAAAAUCCAUCAAGGCUCUUUUUUCUCGAUCUCCUGUAUGAGUGGGAGGGAGGGACAGCUUAUGCAGCACAGACUUCCCACAAGAGGCUUUCUCUCUGCAAGUGAGCAGUGGUGGGGGGUGGGAAGCAGAUGUGAUCCCCCCGCUCCCAGGACUCCUUCCUCACCCGGCUCCCUCCCUCUGCACACAGCCUUAUUUCUCCUCCUUUUCUUGUGACUCAGAGAAACCAGGGCACUCUUUCUGGCCUCCUGCACAACUCCACUCGAGGCCCCCGAACCACAUCACAGGCCACUGCCCCCUGGACCACCCACCCCUUGACCUCUGCCUGCCUUGACCCACUUCCCACAGAAAACAUUUCAUCCCUGGCCUUGCUUGACAUUCCCUGAUUCAGAGUCUGCACUUCCUACCUGCUAAUUCACACCUUGGAUCUGUUACUCUGUGAACAGCCUCCCCCAGUUACAUCAACCUGUGUUUUCUCUCCUGGAUGAGGAUGUAAAAUGCAUUAACGAUAAAUGAGGCAGAGAAGCUGUGACUGAGAGGUCAGGCUCACGGCAGGCUCAGCACAAGGCGAGCGUGCAGGACUCUGAAGGCUGGGCAGACUCGGGCCUGCCAGCUCAUCAGCUUCAGGCCCCUGCCAGCGGGUGACCCUCAGGCGGUGGCUUCUUGGACCUCCUGGUCCCUGGCUUCCGGGACACUGGUCACCAUCGUACCGACCAUAGUCGUAUUUGCCACGCAUGGUCACUGGGAGAGCUGUGAAAAGCAGUGUCCUCCCAUCUGGGCCCACCUGUUGGCUAUGGGAGCUGAAUCGCCCAGUGUCAUUUGGUCCCUUCUCUGUCUCCAGGUGUCCUUCAGCCUUGACUUCUUUGGCAGUCUGACCCCAAGUGUGUGCAGCCCAUAGGCCUCUGUUCUGUCAGACCGCUGAGCUCCAUCCGCACCGCUGAAGUCACCUUCCGAGAACCUACCAAGGAUGGCAGCCCGCUGCUGUGCGUGUGCGUGUGCGUGUGUGUGUGUGUACUGCAUUUUCCUUAUCCAUUCGUCUACUGAUCGACGCUGAGGUUGCUUCCAUACUUUGGCUAUUGUAAAUAAUACCCGCCAUAACCAUAGGAGUGCAUAUCUCUUUUUGAAUUAGUGUUUUCAUUUUCUUUGGGUAAAUACCCACUAGUGAAAUUAUUAGAUCAUAUGGGAUUUUUUUGUUUAUUUGUUUUAUUUUAAGAUUUUAUUUAUUUAUUUGAGAGAGAGAAUGAGAGAGAGAGAGAGAGCACAUGGCGGGGGGAGGGUCAGAGGGAGAAGCAGGCUCCCCGCUGAGCAGGGAGCCCGAUGUGGGGCUCGAUCCCAGGACCCUGGGAUCAUGACCUGAGCCGAAGGCAGUCGCUUUAACCAACUGAGCCACCCAGGCGCCCUCUAUUUUUAAUUUUUUGAAGAACUCCCAUAGUGUUUUCCACAGUGGCUGCACCAAUUUGCAUUCCCACCAAUACUGCAUGAGGGUUCCUUUUUCUCCACAUCCUCAUCAACACUUGUUUUUUCUUAUCAUUCUGAUAUUGACCAUUCUAAUUGGUGCGAGGUGAUAUUUCACUGUAGUAUAGAUUUAAAUUUCCUGAUGAUGAGUGAUGUUGAGCAUCUUUUCAUGUGUCUGUUGGCCAUCUUAUUAGAAACUAAUUAAAAAAAAAAAAAGCGUUGUCAUAGUCUUAGUGAAGGGUAAUUUCCAGAUGCUGAGCUGAAUGUUUGUUGAAUUAUAAUCUUUUUAACGUAUGGUUUCGUUGUCUUCACAGCUGUUUGUUAAUAGCGGUGUGGUAUUCCAUUCACUUGCUGUAUUGUAGUUAACCUGAGGAUCCAUCAUAGCGGGAUGUUUAUAAUGCUGCCAAUUUUUGCUGUUAUAUGUAAUGCUGGAUGACUGCCUUUUUGUGUAUAGAUUUGUUUUGAGUGAUUUUCUUAGAACAAAUUCCCACGAGUGGGAUUAUGGGGUCAAAAUAUAAAAUUCUUUUAUGGGGCACGCUGUCUUCCGGAGGGACAGGAACCGGUGGUUGGGGCCACUGGCAAUGACUUGAUUCUCACCCUGCACCUGAGCCCAGCUGGCCUCUGCCGGAGAAGGCCCGGCGGCAUGCUGCUACCCAGGGACCGACUCGGCGUGGCCGGUUAAAACACGGUCCCAGCGCCGCUGUCUGCUGCUCGAGUUUGCACCGAUGUACAAAGCGCAUCCCACUGGCCCAGGAGUGAGGACGGCUUUGCAAAGGUAGGUUUACUGAGCUUGGAGGUCAAGUGCGUGGGCUGUGGAGCAAGAGGUUUGUCAUCAAGCCCCAGCCCCACUGGGUAGUUAGGUGUGUAACUUUGGGUCAAGUUGCCUAAUACCCCUGGCUGUUUUCUCAUUUGUAAAAUGAAAG